rnacentral:misc_RNA from 1 species
GAUGAAGAACGCAGCGAAACGCGAUAUGUAAUGUGAAUUGCAGAAUUCAGUGAAUCAUCGAAUCUUUGAACGCACAUGGCGCCUUCCAGUAUCCUGGGAGGCAUGCCUGUCCGAGCGUCGUUUCAACCCUCGAGCCCUCGUGGCCCGGCGUUGGGGAUCUGCCACGGCAGGCCCCGAAAUACAGUGGCGGACCCGUUAGGCCCUUCCUUUGCGUAGUAGCAUCAGCCUCGCAUCGGGAGCCGGCGGGCUCUCCUGCCUCUAAACCCCCCAACAAGCCCGCUCCGGCGGCACCAAGGUUGACCUCGGAUCAGGUAGGAAUACCCGCUGAACUUAAGCAUAUCUAAGCGGAGGA